rnacentral:rRNA from 1 species
GACGAACGCUGGCGGCGUGCCUAACACAUGCAAGUUGAGCGACGAACCAGGGCUUGCCCUGGGGCAAAGCAGCGAACGGGUGAGUAACACGUGGGUAACCUGCCCCGAUAACCGGGACAACCCGAGGAAACUCGGGCUAAUACCGGAUGUGCUUGCACCACAUCAGUGGAGUAAGUAAAGGUAGCUUCGGCUUCCGUAUCGGGAGGGGCCCGCGGCCCAUUAGCUAGUUGGUGAGGUAACGGCUCACCAAGGCAACGAUGGGUAGCUGGUCUGAGAGGACGAUCAGCCACACUGGGACUGAGACACGGCCCAGACUCCUACGGGAGGCAGCAGUGGGGAAUCUUGCGCAAUGCGCGAAAGCGUGACGCAGCAACGCCGCGUGGGGGAAGAAGGUUUUCGGAUUGUAAACCCCUUUCAGGAGAGACGAAGGUUCGGCGGUGAAUAGCCGACCGGAUUGACGGUACCUUCACAAGAAGCUCCGGCUAACUACGUGCCAGCAGCCGCGGU